UUUAAUGGCCGCAGUAUUUUGACUGUGCAAAGGUAGCAUAAUCAUUAGUUUCUUAAUUAGAAGCUGGUAUGAAAGGUUGAACGAGAAAAUGACUGUCUCUUAAUUAAUUUUUUAGAAUUUUAUUUUUAAGUUAAAAAGCUUAAAUAUAUUUAAAAGACGAGAAGACCCUAUAGAGUUUUAUAUAAUUAUAUUUAAAAAAAAAUUAUUGAAUUUUUAAAAUUUUAUAUUUAUUUAUAUUUGAUUGGGGUGAUUAAAAAAUUUAUGAAACUUUUUUAUUAUAAAAACAUUAAUUUAUGAAUAAAUGAUCCAUUAAUAAUAAUGAUUAAUAGAAUAAAUUACCUUAGGGAUAACAGCGUAAUUUCUUUUUAGAGUUCUAAUCGAUAAAGAAGUUUGCGACCUCGAUGUUGGAUUAAAAUUUAUUUUUGGUGUAGAAGCUAAAAUAUUAGGUCUGUUCGACCUUUAAAAUUUUACAUGAUCUGAGUUUAAACCGGUGUAAGCCAGGUUGGUUUCUAUCUUUAAAUUAAAUAUAAUAUUUUAGUACGAAAGGACCAAAUAUUAGAAAAAUUUUUUUAUAAAGAUUAUUAUUAAUUU
rnacentral:rRNA from 1 species